UCAUUAUGAAUUUUAUGGCGGAAUUGUAGCUGGCCCCAACCGGGCAUGUGCACAUUCUGUUCAUUCCAUUCUCAUACACCUCUGUGCACUUUACAUAGGUUUGGUAUAGAAAAGGUCUUUAUUGACUUUGGAAAUACUGACCUAUGCUUUUAUAAACGCUUCAGUUUUAGAAUGUCAUCCGCGUAUAACGCAAUAAAUACAACUUUCAGCAACGGAUCUCUUGGCUCUCGCAUCGAUGAAGAACGCAGCGAAAUGCGAUAAGUAAUGUGAAUUGCAGAAUUCAGUGAAUCAUCGAAUCUUUGAACGCAUCUUGCGCCCUUUGGUAUUCCGAAGGGCAUGCCUGUUUGAGUGUCAUGGUAUUCUCAAUACCCCAAAUCUUUGCGGAUAAGGGUGUGUUGGACUUGGAGGUUUUUGCAGGUAAUGAUUGUGUUACCAGCUCCUCUUAAAUGCAUUAGCAGAGAUAAUACUGCUACUCUCCAGUGUGAUAAUUGUCUACACUGUUAGUAGUGCGGUAUAACAAAAUGUCUAUGCUUCUAAUCGUCUUCGGACAACUUUUGACAAUCUGACCUCAAAUCAGGUAGGACUACCCGCUGAACUUAAGCAUAUCAAUAAGCGGAGGA
rnacentral:rRNA from 1 species